AACGAACGCUGGCGGCAUGCCUAACACAUGCAAGUCGAACGAGACCUUCGGGUCUAGUGGCGCACGGGUGCGUAACGCGUGGGAAUCUGCCCUUGGGUUCGGAAUAACAGCGAGAAAUUGCUGCUAAUACCGGAUGAUGACGUAAGUCCAAAGAUUUAUCGCCCAAGGAUGAGCCCGCGUAGGAUUAGCUAGUUGGUGAGGUAAAGGCUCACCAAGGCGACGAUCCUUAGCUGGUCUGAGAGGAUGAUCAGCCACACUGGGACUGAGACACGGCCCAGACUCCUACGGGAGGCAGCAGUGGGGAAUAUUGGACAAUGGGCGAAAGCCUGAUCCAGCAAUGCCGCGUGAGUGAUGAAGGCCUUAGGGUUGUAAAGCUCUUUUUACCCGGGAUGAUGAUGACAGUACCGGGAGAAUAAGCUCCGGCUAACUCCGUGCCAGCAGCCGCGGUAAU
rnacentral:rRNA from 1 species